UGGGGAAUAUUGGACAAUGGGGGGAACCCUGAUCCAGCCAUGCCGCGUGUGUGAAGAAGGUCUUCGGAUUGUAAAGCACUUUAAGUUGGGAGGAAGGGCAGUAAGCGAAUACCUUGCUGUUUUGACGUUACCGACAGAAUAAGCACCGGCUAACUCUGUGCCAGCAGCCGCGGUAAUACAGAGGGUGCAAGCGUUAAUCGGAAUUACUGGGCGUAAAGCGCGCGUAGGGGGUUCGUUAAGUUGAAUGUGAAAGCCCCGGGCUCAACCUGGGAACUGCAUCCAAAACUGGCGAGCUGGAGUAGGGCAGAGGGGGGGGGAAUUUCCUGUGUAGCGGUGAAAUGCGUAGAUAUAGGAAGGAACACCAGUGGCGAAGCCGACCACCUGGGCUCAUACUGACACUGAGGUGCGAAAGCGUGGGGAGCAAACAGG
rnacentral:rRNA from 1 species